GAAUGUUGCAGAUUGUGAUAAUAAAUGAUUUGUUGCCAGUUUAUUGUGUGAGUUUGCUAAUGAUGGUUGCUGGUGGUUUAAUUUUGUAUUGCAGGCCCAACUAUCCUCUUUUUUCAGGAAAAUGCUGGAAAUAUUGCCCAUCGUCUUGAAAUGGUCCGCAUAUUGUUACAACGAUUGAACUGCAAUGUUUUUAUGCUUUCAUACCAAGGAUAUGGUGCCAGUGAUGGAUACCCUUCUCAACAUGGAAUAACAAA